rnacentral:rRNA from 1 species
UACAGGGGGGGCAAGCGUUGUUCGGAAUUACUGGGCGUAAAGGGCUCGUAGGCGGCCAACUAAGUCACACGUGAAAUCCCCAGGCUUAACCUGGGAACCGCGUGUGAUACUGGAUGGCUUGAAUCCGGGAGAGGGAUGCGGAAUUCCAGGUGUAGCGGUGAAAUGCGUAGAUAUCUGGAGGAACACCGGUGGCGAAGGCGGCAUCCUGGACCGGUAUUGACGCUGAUGAGCGAAAGCCAGGGGAGCAAACGGG